CAACUUUCAGCAACGGAUCUCUUGGCUCUCGCAUCGAUGAAGAACGCAGCGAAUUGCGAUAAGUAAUGUGAAUUGCAGAUUUCCAGUGAAUCAUCGAAUCUUUGAACGCACCUUGCGCUCCUUGGUAUUCCGAGGAGCAUGCCUGUUUGAGU
rnacentral:rRNA from 1 species